UUUCUGAUUGGUCGGUAGGCGACGACCGGCAGGGCACCGGUAACGGCGGGGUUUUCAGUUCAAAUGUCUGUGGCAGGCGGGAAAGAGGCGCCCAGAAUAACUGACCGAGGGAACAAGAGCCGGGUCAAGAAUAAAAGAGCUGGAAGAGAGAGACCAAGUCCAGAGGUGAGCCUGUUCAACUGCUGGGCAUCUGGAACAACGAUGGGACCGGAGGACAUCAAGGAUCUUUCCUCCAGCCAGAUGAAGGGCCUCUGGGCCCCGCAGGGAGUUCUGGCUCCUAGCUCAGGGCCUAGAGCCCAGCAGAAGUGAACCUGCCUGGGGGCUGUCUCCUCCCCCCGCCCCCACCCGCCAAGGAUUCUCCCACACCAACACCUGGGAAAGCAGCCCUUUCUCACCUUCCCCUUCAUGUCCAGAAUGAAGACCGCAGAGGCAGACAUGGCGGGAGCUGGGUCUGGGAAGAGCAGGGGCCUUCCUUGGGGCACAGGGAAGGAGACCUUCGGCGCUUCCUCCUUCCUGCAAAAGCAGCGUCACCUCAUCCAGGAAAAGGGAUGGAAGAAUGAAGAACUUGUGUUAGAUUGGUUGAAUGUGGUCUGGAGUAGGCAUCCCGGUGCGUUACUGCAUCAGAAAGGAAUGCUCAUAAUCAACGCGACUGAAAAUGUGAAGAAGAGAAUUGCUGAAAUGGGCAUGGACUUAUAGUUGUUAUUCUGGGAGGAAUGAUUUCACAAUCGUAAGUGUUAGAUGUAGUCAUUAAUAAGCCAGCUCUUUGAGGAAAGAAUAUAAUGAGCGGAUGUUGGCCAGAAACCAUGAAUUUACUCCAUUGAGAAAAAUAAAGAAACCCUUGGUCACUGUAUUAGAGAACUGUAUCAAAACCACUUGGGACAAAAUCUCCACCGAGGCUAUUGUGUUUGGAUUUUUAAAAUGUUGUAUAUCAAACAGUAUGGAUGGUAGUGAAGCUGUUGUUUUGUGGGAAGAAGUGAUGACUCUAAUGAUGUUUCCAGUUUGGGAGAUAAGAAAAUAGAAGAGGAAGGAGAACAUGAUUAAAUAUUGGAAGGUAGUUUCUCACAAAUAGCUAUAAAAGUAAUACAUAAUUAAUAAAAGUAUUAGCAUUAAAACUUCAACUUGUUUUCAGGACCUUGAAAAUGCUUGGAAUAUAAUGGGCCUGUAUUAUUCACAAGUUAAGGGAAAGUUGUAAUUUAAAAAGAGAAAAUAAAAUGGGUAUUUCCUCUUUCUGAGUUACUCUUCAAAAUCCUUGGGUUGGCACUAUAUUUGGGGUCAUACUAUAUUUGGGCUAAUACAAUAAAAAUUUUUUAGAAAUGGACAAUCUUAUAAAACCAAAAGCCUAAAACACACAUACCCAAAUAAACAAGUGAUAAAUCAUAUGUUUUCAUCUGCAUUUCUACUUCCAAUAGUUUUUUCUCUGGAGGUGGAAAGCAUUCCUUCUCAUAAGUUUAUCAGAAUUGUCUUGGGGAGGCAGCUGUAUAGCUCAGUGAAUCGAGAGCCAGGCCUAGAGAUGGGAGGUCCUGGGUUCAAAUCUGGCCUCAGACACUUCCUAGCUGUGUGACCCUGGGCAAGUCACUUAACUCCCAUUGCCUAGCCCAUAUCACUCUUCUGCCUUGGAACCAAUACACAGUAUUAAUUCCAAGAUGGAAGGUAAGGGUUUAAAAAAAAAAAAAGAAUUGUCUUGCAUCAUUGCUGAGACUAGCAAAGUCUAUCAUAUUUGAUCGUUCCAUAAUAUUUCAGUUACUGUGCAUCAUUUUCUCCUGGUUCUCUUUAUUUCACUCUGCAUCAGUUCAUGAAGGUCUUUCCAAUUCUUUCUGAAAUUGUCUUCUUCAUCAUUCCUUAUAGUACUACCAUAUUCCAUCACCAUCAUAUACUACAACUUACUCAGCCAUUCCCCAAUUGAGGGACAUCCCUUUUGUUUCUAAUUCUUUGCCACCACAAAAAGAGCAGAUAUAAUUUUUUUUUUGCAAGCAAGUCCUUUCCCAUGAUUUUUUUUUCCUCUUUGGGAUACAGACUUACUAGUGUGUAUUACUGGAUUAAAGGAUAUCCUUAAAAAAACCCAACCUGUUCCCUUCCAUCUUAGAAUCAAUACUGGGAAUUGGUUCCAAGGCAGAAGAGUGGUAAGGGCUAGGCAAUGGGGGUCAAGUGACUUGCCCAGUGUCACACAGCUAAGAAAUGUCUGAGGCCAGAUUUGAAUCUAGGACUUCCUGUCUUCAGGCCUGUCUCUCAAUCCACUGGGUCCCCCAACUGCUCCCUGCAUUGUUUUGUAGUCUGUAGUUUUAUAGCAUAAUUCUAAGUUUCCCUCCAGAAUGAUUGGAUUGGUUCACAACUCUACCAGCAAUGCAUUAGUGUCCCAAUUUUGCCACAUUGCACAGUACAUUUCUGAGAUGAAAUUCAAAACUAACUCUUCCUGUUACCAACUUCUUCACACUAUAGCCAUGAUGCUAUGUCAUUCCAUGGUUUACAAUUGCCACUGACCCUCACCCAGACAUUACAGUAAGACUUUAACAAAUGUUUAUUGACUGACUCUUAACCAGAUAGAUUUUUUGUGUUGGAGAGUAGUUUGAGAUCAUAAUGAGUUAUGCAUAAGUCUGCAGAUGCAAUCUUGCCCAUUCUUUUCCUAUUUCUUUGUGUCCAUCUAACUUCAUCUACAGUGCCUGUCCAGAGCAGAUGCACUGAUGGACUUACUCAAUGGUUGUCCCAUAUGGGUGCACUCAUCAGUCUAGGUAAUAUUAGAAAUUGUUAUAAUUAGAAUGAUCUUGAAAGACUGAUUUUGGGGGCUAACAAUAUAAGUUUAUUGAUUACAUCAGUUUUAUUGAUUAAACCAACAUCAACUGGAGCUGGAUCAGACAGUCUAAUAAAUAGAUUUUUAGGAGCUCAUUAUUCAGUCCCUCCACUGACCAUCCCAUGACAUCUUUAAUUGGUGAUAACUAAUUAAAAAGUGGUCCAUCAACCUAUCCACUCCUCUCUGUCCCCACAAGCAGACAGGUCACACAGGCCAGAAAAGAACCUACCAAAUUCUGUUAAAAAGGAAGGCAUUCUUUGAAAUUCUCAAGGACUAAGAAAAUGCAAAAAGCAACAGACCAAAUGGUAUCUCUGACCCAGAUCCCAGACGUAGGAAUACACAGUCUUUCUCCCUAAUAUAUAGGAAUUAAUACAGUAUAUGAAAAAUAAAUUCUCAUACAAUAAAGUGGGAACAAUAUUGGUUGGGUAGAAAUAGCAUAUCGGUGAAGGGGAGUUUACAUUCAAUGACUUUGUUAGUGUAAUGUGAAUAGGUAUAGCCUUGGCUCAGGACAAGUGCCCUAAUUCUGGGUCUGUUCUGUUUUUUGGGUUCCAGUCUAGUCAUGCUUCAUCCAGAACCUAGGGAUAAGUAAUCAUAGGAUCAUGCAUUUAGAGCUGGAAGAGGCUAUUUUGAUUCAAUACUUUCAGUUUUACAGAUGGGAAAACUAAGGCCCAAAGAAAUUACGUUAAUCAGAGCCAAGAUCACAGAAUAAGUGGCAGAGGCAAGAUCCUACCCCAGGUCCUCUGAGUUUAAACACUCUUUCCCCUCAUCAAGAGUCAUCCCUUGUCUCUCAGGUAGAUUAUUUCACCUGCUUCUCCCCAGCACAAUCUUUCUUCCAUAUCAAGCCACCUUCCUUUGUUCUUCCCUCCAAGCUCAAGUGAAGAGCCAUCCAUUCUAAAAAGUCUUCCUAGGGGCAGCUAGGUGGUUCAGUGGAUUGAGAUCCAGGCCUAGAGAUGGGGGGGGGUCUUGGGUCCAAAUCUGGCAUCAAACACUACCUAACUGUGUGACUGUGAGAAAGUAAUUUAAUCCCCAUUGCCUAAUUCUUACUACUCUUUUGCCUUGGAAUCAAUAUACAUUAUUGAUUCUGAGACUGAAGGUAAGGGUUAAAAAAAAAAGACUUCCCAGAUUAUUUGUAAAUGAGGGAUGGAUUUAUGAAUUAAUCUUUAGAGUCAGAAGGAACCUUAGAUAUAAUUUUUUUCAUUUCAUUAAUAUUUUACAUAAGUCAAUUUUUAAUAAUUGUUUUCUGCCAUUUUGCUAUCCAUGUUCCCACUCUCCCUUCCUCUCCUCCCCACUCUUUUGAUAGCAGGUAAUAUGAUCUGGUUAAUGCAUAUGUGAUAAUCCAAUGCAUAUUUCUCCAUUUGUCCUGUUUUGAAAGAAGACACAUAUCACUUAUAUAAUAAAAAACUCAAGGAGAUAAAGUGAAAAUAGUCUCCUUCAA